CGCUGGCGGCGUGCUAAUCAUGCACGUCGAGCGGAAAGAUGGGAAGCUUGCUCCCUGAUGUUAGCGGCGGACGGGUGAGUAACACGUGGGUAACCUGCCUGUAAGACUGGGAUAACUCCGGGAAACCGGGGCUAAUACCGGAUGGUUGUUUGAACCGCAUGGUUCAAACAUAAAAGGUGGCUUCGGCUACCACUUACAGAUGGACCGCGGCGCAUUAGCUAGUUGGUGAGGUAACGGCUCACCAAGGCAACGAUGCGUAGCCGACCUGAGAGGGUGAUCGGCCACACUGGGACUGAGACACGGCCCAGACUCCUACGGGAGGCAGCAGUAGGGAAUCUUCCGCAAUGGACGAAAGUCUGACGGAGCAACGCCGCGUGAGUGAUGAAGGUUUUCGGAUCGUAAAGCUUUGUUGUUAGGGAAGAACAAGUACCGUUCGAAUAGGGCGGUACCUUGACGGUACCUAACCAGAAAGCCACGGCUAACUACGUGCCAGCAGCCGCGGUAAUACGUAGGUGGCAAGCGUUGUCCGGAAUUAUGGGC
rnacentral:rRNA from 1 species